rnacentral:rRNA from 1 species
CCUACGGGUGGCUGCAGUGGGGAAUAUUGGACAAUGGGGGGAACCCUGAUCCAGCCAUGCCGCGUGUGUGAAGAAGGCCCUCGGGUUGUAAAGCACUUUCAGUGAGGAAGAACGCCUGGUGGUUAAUACCCAUCAGGCCAGACAUCACUCACAGAAGAAGCACCGGCUAACUCCGUGCCAGCAGCCGCGGUAAUACGGAGGGUGCGAGCGUUAAUCGGAAUUACUGGGCGUAAAGCGCGCGUAGGUGGCUUGAUAAGCCGGUUGUGAAAGCCCCGGGCUCAACCUGGGAACGGCAUCCGGAACUGUCAAGCUAGAGUGCAGGAGAGGAAGGUAGAAUUCCCGGUGUAGCGGUGAAAUGCGUAGAGAUCGGGAGGAAUACCAGUGGCGAAGGCGGCCUUCUGGACUGACACUGACACUGAGGUGCGAAAGCGUGGGUAGCAAACAGGAUUAGAUACCCCUGUAGUC